CUCGAAAACAAAAGACUUGCCCCCACGCAGGAUUGAACUACGGACCUUUGGUUUACAAGACCAACGCUCUACCACUGAGCUAUAAGGGCGAC
ensembl:ncRNA C40C9.6 ncRNA